GAGGGUAUAGCUCAGUGGUAGAGUGUGUUAGCUUAACAUGUACCAGGUCCUGGGUUCAAUCCCCAGUACCUCCA
rnacentral:tRNA from 1 species